CUUCUUGUCUUCCUCUACAGCGAGCAAACAAAAGUUAAACUUUAAUUUCUCUCUCCUCUACAACCUUCGACAAUGUUCACUCUUCACAAAAAAAAGGAGUCUUAGUGAAAACCUAAAGAAGGCGACGGCGAAGAAGAUCUUUGGAGCAGAUCUGCUAUCAAAAGAAGCAAAUGAUCGAGAGCGGAUUUCACUGGUUUUUUCCCCUAUAUUUUGUAGUGGUGUGGCUGAACAGGGAAACGAUGAAGCUACAAAGCUGCAGGUAACGAAUUCAAAGAGGUUAGUAAAGGUAGAGGCACUCCUCUGUUUGCAGCUCCUGAUUUAUGUGCCUUUGGAACCUUUUUUUUCCCUGGGUGCAGCAGUUCUUGAAUGAGAUCUUGUAAAUUACCAAGCAGAAGUUUUGGUUAAAAUAGCUAGGAAGUUUUCAAAUGUUGCUCCAACUAAACCUUUUAGACUUGGAUUGGAUGAGAUUUUGAACACUCUUGACAGGGCCUACAUUAUCACUGAGUAGGAAUAUGAUGUUGUUGCCGAGCUAGACACCCUAGAAGGAGAGUAAGAAGAAUCGUACAAAGAUAGCAUAAUACUUCGAUUAUCCAACUCCAACCUCACUUCACAGACACCAGAUAUGCAGUUUUCUGAAGAAACUUAUUCAUCGGGAAAUGUGGAUGAGGUUAGAGAUAUGUGGGUCGAGUAUUUGCUCAAGCAAGAAGCGGAUGAAGAAAACCAAGUUGAUGGUAUGAAAAUAACUCCAUGAGUUUCGGUUCCAAUUGUUGGUAAAUUGGCGUGAAUGAUUAUAUUUUUGAAUUGAUUUUUGUUUUACGUUUUUUGGAAAUUGCGAUGUAAAGCUUUGACGUUUAUGCAAAUUACAAUUUAUGUAAAGCUUGCGUUUUGAGCAUUACUUGUGGGAAAUAUAUUUUUUUUGUUAAUAUAUGGAUUAUGGAAUUGUUCUCUAAUUAUUACAAAUUAUGUAUUAUAG